GACGAACGCUGGCGGCGCGCCUAACACAUGCAAGUCGAACGAGAGAUGAGGAGCUUGCUCUUCAAAUCGAGUGGCGAACGGGUGAGUAACGCGUGAGGAACCUGCCUCAAAGAGGGGGACAACAGUUGGAAACGACUGCUAAUACCGCAUAAGCCCACGGCUCGGCAUCGAGCAGAGGGAAAAGGAGCAAUCCGCUUUGAGAUGGCCUCGCGUCCGAUUAGCUAGUUGGUGAGGUAACGGCCCACCAAGGCGACGAUCGGUAGCCGGACUGAGAGGUUGAACGGCCACAUUGGGACUGAGACACGGCCCAGACUCCUACGGGAGGCAGCAGUGGGGAAUAUUGCACAAUGGGGGAAACCCUGAUGCAGCGAUGCCGCGUGAGGGAAGAAGGUUUUCGGAUUGUAAACCUCUGUGGACAGGGACGAUAAUGACGGUACCUGUUUAGAAAGCCACGGCUAACUACGUG
rnacentral:rRNA from 1 species